rfam:Rattus norvegicus chromosome 6, whole genome shotgun sequence.
GGGGAUUUAGCUCAGUGGUAGAGCGCUUGCCUAGCAAGCACAAGGCCCUGGGUUUUGUCCCCAGCUCCA